rnacentral:rRNA from 1 species
CUUCGGGUGGUGAGUAAAGCGGCGAACGGGUGAGUAACACGUAAGAAACCUGCCCCUAAAUCCGUAAUAACAUUGCUAACGCGGUGCUAAUACCGGAUGUGGUCUCCAGUUUGCAUGAACAGGAGAUUAAAGGUGACCUCUACUUGUAAGUUAUCGUUUAGGGAUGGUCUUGCGGACCAUUAGCUUGUUGGCGGGGUAACGGCCCACCAAGGCUGCGAUGGUUAGCCGGCUCAAGAGGGUGAUCGGCCACAUUGGGACUGAGAUACGGCCCAGACUCCUACGGGAGGCAGCAGUAGGGAAUUUUGCGCAAUGGACGAAAGUCUGACGCAGCAACGCCGCGUGAGCGAUGAAGGUUUUCGGAUUGUAAAGCUCUGUUGAGUGGGAAGAAAACUCUCCGGGAUAAUACCCCGGAGACUUGACGGUACCACUCGAGGAAGCCCCGGCUAAAUACGUGCCAGCAGCCGCGGUAAUACGUAUGGGGCAAGCGUAGAUCGGAAUCACUGGGCGUAAAGGGAGUGUAGGCGGAAAGGUACAGUUAGAAGUGUAAUCCACGGG